CAGUCGCCGCGGUAAUACGAAGGGGGCUAGCGUUGCUCGGAAUCACUGGGCGUAAAGGGUGCGUAGGCGGGUUUCUAAGUCAGGGGUGAAAUCCUGGAGCUCAACUCCAGAACUGCCCUUGAUACUGGAAGUCUUGAGUAUGGGAGAGGUGAGUGGAACUGCGAGUGUAGAGGUGAAAUUCGUAGAUAUUCGCAAGAACACCAGUGGCGAAGGCGGCUCACUGGCCCAUAACUGACGCUGAGGCACGAAAGCGUGGGGAGCAAUCAGGAUUAGAUACCCCGGUGUCCCUGUCUCUUAUACA
rnacentral:rRNA from 1 species